CAAGAUAGAAGUUUAUAAGAUUAUGCGUGGCAUGGAGGAAGUGGACAAGUCUUUUUCCUUCUCUCACAAUGCAAGAACGCAUGGACAUCCAAUGUUGGGAGAUUCAGGACAGAUAAAAUAAAGUAAUUCUUCAUUCUGUGCACAGUUAGACUGUGGAACUCACUCCCACAGGAGGCAGGGCAGGCCACCAACCUAGAUGGCAUUUAAAGAGGAGGAGGAGAAGAAGAAGAAGAAGAAGAAGAAGAAGAAGAAGAAGAGGAGGAGGAGUUUGGAUUUGAUAUCCCGCUUUAUCACUACCUGAAGGAGUCUCAAAGCGGCUAACAUUCUCCUUUCCCUUCCUCCCCCACAACAAACACUCUGUGAGGUGAGUGGAGCUGAGAGACUUCAAAGAAGUAUGACUGGCCCAAGGUCACCCAGCAGCUGCAUGUGGAGGAGCGGAGACGUGAACCCGGUUCCCCAGAUUACGAGUCCACCGCUCUUAACCACUACACCACGCUGGCUCUCGUAUGAAGUAGUCAACUUCAUGCAACUGCUGUCAUCUCUAACCAUUAGUUAUGUCAGCUGGGCCUGAUGGGAGUUUGAAUCUAGCAAUAUCUGGAGGGCCGCAGGUUCCCCAGGGGAGAUAAAUUUGAUUCACUUCACAUUUGAAAGAGAAUUUAUUAAAUUUGCAUUUUGCAAAACAAUAUGAGAAUCAAAAUGCAGCCAUCCUUAGAAAUUCACACGUCUGUGAAUUUUAGGGUGUCAUUCCCCAACCAGUGUUUACAAAAAUGCAUAUAUUAGGGGGAAUGUGCAUUAAAAAUGAAUACAAAGUAUUCAUGUAGAUAACAUGCAAAAUGCAUUAUAACAGGGGAACUGCUUGCAAAAAUGUGUGCUUUAGUCAAUACUGCAUACAAAAAUGUGCUUAUUAGGAGGAAUUUUAUGAUUUUUCUUGAGGGUUUUAAAUAUAUAUUUGCAAAUUGCUGUAGAACUCUAGAGAACUUAAGAUUGGAAAAAUGAAAAAGGGAGCGAACAGAAAUCUACAGAUUGUUCCAUCCCUAUCCCAGUGUUAGAAUUCAUUUAACAAAAUGUAGUGAGGAAACCACAUUUGACAUUUUCAUCUGAUAUUAGAUUGAGUGCUUCCGUUUCUUUUCAGGGAAAAAUGAAUGAAUUUUCCUCCUUUGAAAAUAAAUGCUGAGCUGUACAACUUAGCGCUUGCUUUAAACAUACGUUUAUCUAGCAGCAUUAAACUUCCUGUUAACUUGAAGUGCUCAAAACUGCAACUUACAAUGACGUGCAGACUUUAUCUAGGCCAUAUAGAUAAGCAGGUUUUAAAACCAACAAGAAAUGGCUUCCUUUAACCUACUUGGAAGGUUCAAGAAUGCCAAGGAGAAUGACAUUUACAGUGCAGGGGAAAACUGUUCAGAAUUUACACCCACUUUACAAUUUGUUUUAUUUAGGCAAAGUUAAGUUGGUUGCAAGUUGUAGUCACCAUCUGCCACAUGUUAGACUUUGAGGAACACUGUGGGUUAUCAUAGCCACUCCUUAAAGGAGGGAUGGGGAAACAUUCUCAAUUCAAGGGCUGCAUUCUCUGUUGGGCAACAUUCCAGGGACGGCAUGCCAGUGAGUAGUGGGGCCAGUGGUAAAAGCAGGCUGUGUGUGGAGCAAUGGAUACAAUCCUUAAUCUUUGUACAGUAGGCUACAUUCCAAACAGACACCUCUCCAUAUUUGUGUCUCUCCAUCCAGGCAAGAGGCUUUAGCACAGGUGAAAGGUACAUUCUAGUCAGUCAAAAGCACUCAAGGAGAAUGCAAAGCUGGACUGGUUGAGUGUAUAGCCUUGGUCGAGAGGAAGUGGCUUGGAGCUGGGACCUUGGCAGAAUCCCAGGAACCAGGUAUGUCUGUUGGUCUGCAUUUGAUCUGGCCCUGGUCUGAGGUUCCCCAGCACUGACUUAGAGGUAGGCUUCUAGCUUCCAUAGAAGGAAUCCUUCAGUAACACUAGGCAUGGGGGAGAAAUUCAGUUCUGUUAGUAUCUGAAGGCAAAUCUAUAAAACUUGCACUUUCUGAAAGCCCCCUUUUGAAAUUUGCACUUCUCCAAAAUUUGUGCUAUUGUUUUCUGACCAAGCAAUGUUUACAAAAAAACUUCCGGGGUGGCGCCAUCGGCAAUGGCGGACUCCCUCUGAUCUGGAGGGACUAGCUCCACGCGAAACGGGUCUUUUCCGCUACGGCGAAGCGGGGACCCUUUCAAAAAUCACAGGCGGAUGAAGCCUGUGACCAUGGGACUCGGCGGGCACCUUUAGCGCCCCCCCAACCCGCAAAGGAACCCACUAACGGGCUCCGGAGCGAAGAGGGGGAAGUGGCGCGGUGCUGAGAGUCAACUGCUUCUUCCGUGGAGCGAAGCCACACAGCCGUUGCCGGAGAGCGCUGCCUUUUUCCUGGGACAAUUUGGCUUCUAAAAUAAUCACCCGUGAGUACUUAAAUUUUGGACAAUUGGACUUUAAAUAAGGACUUGCGAGCAGAAAGGAAAAUUGGACUUAAAAGUUUAUUUCAAUUUGGCACUGAAACGGGAAGGUCUAAACAGGAAGUCAGCCUUCCGUUUCUUUGUAGAUAGAUUAAAGCAAAGACAUGGCAAACUAGAGCUCAGAAAAUCGCUUGUAAAAGAUUAACUUUCAUCAUUUAAAAUUGUUGAACCCUCUUCGGAAGCAGGAGAAGAGGGGGAUUUUUUCGGACUGUUUAAACCUGCAGAAGUGAGUGUAAAGUAAAGUAACUUUCCACCGUCAUGAUCCUGGAGCGGGGUGUCAGGACUGACGAUUAUUUUUUAAGCUCAUUGACCAGAGACAAACGUUUUUGACAGAUAGCUAAAAGAAGAGAAACAUAGUGAUUCCAUUGUUCCCCUUCGCAUUUUAAAGGAACAAAUAUUGACAAAAUAUCUGAAAAAGGAAACUUUGUUGUUAGACUUGUCUUUAAAAGAAAGAACAAAUAGAAGUUUCCCCCCUAGAGGGAGACUGUGAAACUGUAACCAAUUCCGGGGAGCUUGCAGCUGUUACAGAUUACAAUCGUGGGAAUAGACUUCUGACCUUGCAGGACAAUGUAUUCAGAAGCUCUGUUGUGUGCUCUCUGUAAAACAAAUGCCCUACUGGAACAGCUACAUGAGAAGACGGACUUGAUGACUGAUGCGAUCAGAAAUUUUGAACAGGCAGUGGGAAAUUAUAUGGAGCCCACCCAGGAAUUAAAUCAGGAGUGUGCCCUGACAGAACAGAUGAGGGAAGAGGAUGUUGCUGAAUCUUGGGCGCCAGAGAUGGAGGGAGCUGUGGCCCAGCAGGAACAUGAGCUUUUGGAUUUGACAAAUGAACUUGGAAAAAGCCAGAUUUGGAAAGAUAAAGUUUGGUCUGGUUUGGAAAUGGGGGGUUGGAUAGACCCCCCUAUGCAGGGAUGUUUGGACUUUUCAAGUCUGGCAAUGGGCCAUGAGCUGUGUGGGGUUGUGGGGCUCUUAAUUUUGGAGGGACUUUGAAACAUGUUCUUAAAUACCACAUGGAGUUUAGUGUGGACUAUGGAAAAGGGGCUGAUUUGUCGAGAAGGGUCAAAAACAUUGUUAAGCUGGAGUUCCCACGAGUGAAAGGAGCAGGAGACAAAGGAAAAUACAGCUAUAAAUAUGAAGAAGAGCCGCAGAAGGGACAUGGAAGGGACUUAAGGGCCUCGGAUAUAAGAUUACCAGGUUAAUGCGCUAGAUUGAUGGGAUAAAAAGGACUGACAAAACCUGGGACCAGGAGGAAGGGACGCUGGAUGAAGAUUGGAUUGUUUUUAUUUCUUUUUUUAUUACCAGGAUUGUUUUAUAAAAUUGAUGAAUGUUAGAAAAAUGUUGGAACGAAAUUACUUGGCUUUAGCAAAAAUGUUUAAAGAAUUAUGUAAGAAUAUUAUGGUUAUGAGAAGUUGGGAAAAAUAAGAUUUAAGUUUUAAGCUUUAAGGUUUUUUAUAGUAAGAUAAGAUUAAAAUAGAUUAAGGUAAUGUAAUGACAGAAUAUUAUGAAAUAUGGAAAGGAUUUGCUGCGACAAUUAACAACUAGGAUACAAAAAAAGGGAGGAGGAGGAGGUCAAAGAAAGAAGGUAAUGACAGUUGAGGAUUUGAGAAUGAUGGAUUUGUUUUUGAGUGUUUGUGGUGUAUUUUUGUUUUUUGAAUUUGUAUUGUUUGAUGUGGUUUCUUUUUUCUUUGUUUUUUCUUUCUUUUUUUCUGCUUUGUUCUUUUUUGUAAUUUUAAAUUUUUUUUUCAAUAAAUAUCAUUUUAAAAAAAUACACAAAAAGGCAUAUAUUAGGAGGUGAAUGUACAUAGAAAUUUAUAUAUUAGUGAAACUAACAUAUGAAACACAUUAUAUUAUGGGGAAAUUGCUUGCAAAAUUGUGUACAAACGUGUUUAUUGGAAGGCAUUUGCACUAAAAUGCUGGUGAAUUUUUGUGAGGAUUCUUUUAAAAAUGGCAAAUUGCUGAAGAAAUGUGAAGAAGUUAAUUUAAGACUGGGGGAAAAUGAGAAACUGAGAGAACCAAACUUGACAGUUCCUUCCUAAAUAAAACCCAGGCCAAAGCGUCACAAAAGUUCCAAUGGCAGGUCCAGUGCAGGAUCUCGGUGAGGAGCAUCUGAUGGGGCUAUACAGAUGUGGACUUGAUCACUGGAAACCCCAUGUAAGAACAAGAUACACAUAUUUUCUAUUAAUAUAUAUUGAUAUAUUGCAUGCAUGCAUUGCCAUGUUGCCUAUGGCACAGCCUCCAAUAACACGGGGUGAUUUAAUUAACUCCUGAAAAGAAAAAAAGAAAAAAGGAAAGUUUUUAGUUGGAUCUCUCACUUGGAUGAUGUAAUUUUCUUGCUGGUUUUGAAACAACACAGAGUUAUUCAGACAAAAAGGGAAAGGAAAGAACACACACACACAGUGCAAAUCCACCAUCACACAGACCAUUGCCUAGAAGCAUCACUAAAAAGUUAAAAUUUUCCCCGGUAUUUAUUACAGUACCCAUGAACUGAGGAUAAGCUUUUACUGAGCUUAGUUCUCUUUAGUCUAUUUAUAUAGACUGAGUCCACAAGGCCUUCAAGGGACAUUGAUGGGCACUUAGCACUCUAAUAUAUAUAUCUCUCUAAUCUGGGGACUGAAUCAAUUACCCUCUACUACUUUGCAUGGUGGGCAGUAAGAACGCAACAAGAGCCAGCCAGAGUCCUGUGCAUCAUAUGAACACUGAUCCAGAGUAGUAUUUGCUUACAUGUAAGAUUGGGUAUGUAUUUUAGUUGUACAUAUUGUAUUAUGCAUUUUAUUUCAUACAGACGCAGGUUUCAUCGCAUGUAUAUUGCAAUUUCAGCUUGUUAAGAAAUUGAACUGCAUUCUUCUCAUAUUAAUUCUUACAAGUCUGGCUGAUGAAGAAUUGAUCAAGAUUGGCUGAUGAAGCAUGGAACGAAACAGAUUGGUUAUCCGGAAACUCUGUUCCGGUGAUAUUUGGUGACAGA
rnacentral:lncRNA from 1 species